UGGGCUCAUCGUUCUCGUCCUCCGUCACUCGGAUAUACUCCGACAUCUUCGCUGGAAGUUACUGAAGUACAAAAGGGAAAGAGCAGGCGGGGCACCGAAACGCGCUAUUCAUUAACACUAAAGCCUCCGGGCCUGCUGUACACAUCGGCCCGUCCUGGAGCUACGGAGGUACCAACAGCGACUUGGUCCCCGAGCACGGCGGAAAUUCCCAGAGGCGCCAUGAGCUCCCCCCGCGAAGCCGGGAGCACAGCCCCCCUCGGCCUCGCCGUCUGCCGGGCCCGCCCAAGCCCGCGACCUCCGGAUGCGGCUCCACCCGCCCCAGCACCGCGCGCAGCCGGGCCGGGCCCCACCUGGCCCCGCUCACCGGCCAGGGAAGGGAGCGACGUCCCGAGAACCCCUCAGCACCGCCUCCACCACACUGUAUCCGCCGCCGCCGC